GCACAAGAAUAUAGCCCAGUUGGUAAAGCGUGAGACUCUUAAUCUCACACUCAUGGGUUUGAGCCCUGUGUUGGGCA